UAGUUGCUAAAUAAGGGUAUACGGUGAAUGCCUAGACACUAAAAGACGAUGAAGGACGUAGCAGUCUGCGAUAAGCUUCGGGAAGGUGGCAAGCAACCUUUGAUCCGGAGAUUUCCGAAUGGGGAAACCCUCUCGCUUGAAGAGCGAGAACCACUAGCUGAAUACAUAGGCUAGUAGGAGGCAACCCAGCGAAUUGAAACAUCUUAGUAGCUGGAGGAAAAAAAAGAAUUAAUGUACUGAUAGAAAUCGUUGACAACUCGUUUGUCGCUGAUUUCUAUUAGUAUCUCGAUUCCCUGAGUAGUGGCGAGCGAAACGGGAAGAGCCUAAACCAUAUAUAAGAUAAAUUAUUCUGAGUUCAAGCCUUCGGGUUUGGAUGAGGGAUACUGCAAUAGCCGCGAGCUUAACGCUGUAUAUGGAGUUAUAAGGAGUUAUUUUUAUCAAAUCUUGCGGAUUUGGUACAUCUUAAAAUUAAAUUGUUGUUUAGCAGAGUCCGCUGGAAAGCGGAACCACAGAAGGUGAUAGUCCUGUAAGCGAAAAAUAACAAUAAGAUGAGAUA
rnacentral:rRNA from 1 species